GGGUAGUUUGACUGGGGCGGUCUCCUCCUAAAGAGUAACGGAGGAGCACGAAGGUUGGCUAAUCCUGGUCGGACAUCAGGAGGUUAGUGCAAUGGCAUAAGCCAGCUUGACUGCGAGCGUGACGGCGCGAGCAGGUGCGAAAGCAGGUCAUAGUGAUCCGGUGGUUCUGAAUGGAAGGGCCAUCGCUCAACGGAUAAAAGGUACUCCGGGGAUAACAGGCUGAUACCGCCCAAGAGUUCAUAUCGACGGCGGUGUUUGGCACCUCGAUGUCGGCUCAUCACAUCCUGGGGCUGAAGUAGGUCCCAAGGGUAUGGCUGUUCGCCAUUUAAAGUGGUACGCGAGCUGGGUUUAGAACGUCGUGAGACAGUUCGGUCCCUAUCUGCCGUGGGCGCUGGAGAACUGAGGGGGGCUGCUCCUAGUACGAGAGGACCGGAGUGGACGCAUCACUGGUGUUCGGGUUGUCAUGCCAAUGGCACUGCCCGGUAGCUAAAUGCGGAAGAGAUAAGUGCUGAAAGCAUCUAAGCACGAAACUUGCCCCGAGAUGAGUUCUCCCUGACCCUUUAAGGGUCCUGAAGGAACGUUGAAGACGACGACGUUGAUAGGCCGGGUGUGUAAGCGCAGCGAUGCGUUGAGCUAACCGGUACUAAUGAACCGUGAGGCUUAACCUUACAACGCCGAAGGUGUUU
rnacentral:rRNA from 1 species